GGGGUAAAAUUAAUAAAAUAUAAAUAAUAAAAAAAUUUUUAAUAUUGGGGGGUAUUAAAGUAUUUUUUUUAAAAAAAAUAAUUAAUUUUAUAGUAAAUUAGUAUUGAAAAAGAAAUUUGAAAUAUGUGAAAAUAAAUUAUUUAAAAAGUAAUUUUUAUUUAAUGUAUCUUGUGUAUCAGAGUUUAUUAAAAAAUAUAUUUUUUAGUGAAUAAUCUCGAAUUUAAAAGAGUUAAUUAAUUAUAAAAGUUAAUGUGGAAAAAUUAUUUUAAAUAAUUAAUUUGAAAUGAAAUGUUAAUCGUUUUUAAAUAUAUCUAGUUAUUUUAGAAAAAAAUUUAAUUUUAAAUUUAAAAAAUUUUAUUUAUAAUUAUAAUUAUAAAUAAAAUUUUUAAAAUUAAAUAUAUUAAGGGAUAAUCUUUAAUAUAAAAAUUUAUAAUAAAUUAAAGUUAAAAUAAAAAUUUUAAAAUUUAUAUUGUUUAAAAAUUAUAAUUUAUUAUAAAAAAUUUUAUUUAUAAUAAAAUUUAAUUAAAAGUUUAAUUUUUUAUAAAAUAAUAAUAAAAAUAAAAAAAAAUUAAAAAUAAUGAUAAAAUUAGUAUAUUAUUUAAAAAUAUAAUUUAAUUGAUUAAAAUUAAAUUAAAGGAAUUCGGCAAAUUUUUAUAUUCACUUGUUUAUCAAAAACAUGUCUUUUAGUUAAUAAUUUAAAGUCUAAUCUGCCCACUGAUAAUAUAUUAAAGGGCUGCAGUAUAUUGACUGUACAAAGGUAGCAUAAUCAAUAGUCUUUUAAUUGAAGACUUGUAUGAAAGAUUUGAUGAAAUAUAAACUGUCUCUGAUUUAUUAAUAAAAUUUAAUUUUUUAGUUAAAAAGCUAAAAUAAAUUUAAAAGACGAGAAGACCCUAUAGAGUUUUAUAUUAAAUAAAUUUAAUGUUAUUUAUACAUAUAAAAAUUAAGAAUAAAUUUAAUAUUUUAUUGGGGUGAUUGAAAAAUUAAUAUAACUUUUUUUUUAAAAAAAUACAUAAAUAAUUGAAUAAUUGAUCCAUAUUUUAUGAUUAAAAGAAAAAAUUACCUUAGGGAUAACAGCGUAAUAUUUUUUUUUAGUACAAAUAAAAAAAAAAGUUUGCGACCUCGAUGUUGGAUUAAGAUAAAAUUUAAAUGCAAAAGUUUAAAAUUUUGAUCUGUUCGAUCAUUAAAAUCUUACAUGAUCUGAGUUCAAACCGGUGUAAGCCAGGUUGGUUUCUAUCUUUAGAAAAAAAAAAUGUUUUAGUACGAAAGGAUCAAAUAUUUUUAAUAAUUAAAAUUUAAUGAAUAUUAAUAAUUAUUAAUUAUAU
rnacentral:rRNA from 1 species